rnacentral:SRP_RNA from 1 species
GGUGUCCGCGCUAAGUUCGGUAUCAAUAUGGUGACCUCCUGGGAGCAGGAGGCCCAUCAGGUUGCUAAGGAGGGGAGAACUGGCUCAGGUCAGAAAGGGAGCAGGUCAGGACUCCCGCACCAAUCGGUAGUGGGACUGUGCC